rnacentral:rRNA from 1 species
GUGGAUUAGUGGCGAACGGGUGAGUAACACGUGAGUAACCUGCCCUUGACUCUGGGAUAACUGCUAGAAAUGGUAGCUAAUACCGGAUACGACCCUCGGAGGCAUCUCCAGGGGGUGGAAAGAAUUUCGGUCAAGGAUGGACUCGCGGCCUAUCAGCUAGUUGGUGAGGUAAAGGCUCACCAAGGCGACGACGGGUAGCCGGCCUGAGAGGGUGACCGGCCACACUGGGACUGAGACACGGCCCAGACUCC